GGGAUAUUGCCCAAUGGGGGAAACCCUGAUGCAGCGACGCCGCGUGAGUGAAGAAGUAGUUCGGUCUGUAAAGCUCUAUCAGCAGGGAAGAAAAUGACGGUACCUGACUAAGAAGCCCCGGCUAACUACGUGCCAGCAGCCGCGGUAAUACGUAGGGGGCAAGCGUUAUCCGGAUUUACUGGGUGUAAAGGGAGCGUAGACGGCAUGGCAAGUCUGAUGUGAAAGGUGCGGGCUCAACUCGCAAACUGCAUUGGAAACUGUCAUGCUAGAGUGCAGGAGAGGUAAGUGGAAUUCCUAGUGUAGCGGUGAAAUGCUCAGAUAUUAGGAGGAACACCAGCGGCGAAGGCGGCUUACUGGACUGUAACUGACGUUGAGGCUCGAAAGCGUGGGUAGCAAACA
rnacentral:rRNA from 1 species